UUUUUGAUUAUAAUUUAAAGUAGGGUCUGCCCACUGAAUUCUUGAAGGGCCGCAGUAUUUUAACUGUGCAAAGGUAGCAUAAUCAUUAGUUUUUUAAUUGAAAGCUUGUAUGAAUGGUUUGAUGAAAAAUUAACUGUCUCUAUUUAAUUAGUAGAAUUUUAUUUUUAAGUAAAAAAGCUUAAAUUUUUUUAAAAGACGAGAAGACCCUAUAGAGUUUUAUUAAAGUUUUGGUAAUAUUUUUUAGUAUUUAAUUGUAUUAUUUUAAUUUUAAUUUGAUUGGGGUGAUUAAAAAAUUAAAUAAACUUUUUUUAUAUUUUUACAUAGAUUUAUGAAUUGUUGGUCCAUUAAAAUGAUUAAAAGAAUAAGUUACCUUAGGGAUAACAGCGUAAUUUUUUUGAAGAGUUCUAAUCGAUAAAAAGGAUUGCGACCUCGAUGUUGGAUUAAAAUUUAUAUUUGGUGUAGAAGCUAAAUUAUUAGGUCUGUUCGACCUUUAAAAUUUUACA
rnacentral:rRNA from 1 species